rnacentral:rRNA from 1 species
UACGUAGGGGGCGAGCGUUGUCCGGAUUCAUUGGGCGUAAAGGGCUCGUAGGCGGUUUGUCGCGUCGGGAGUGAAAACUCAGGGCUUAACCCUGAGCCUGCUUCCGAUACGGGCAGACUAGAGGUAUGCAGGGGAGAACGGAAUUCCUGGUGUAGCGGUGAAAUGCGCAGAUAUCAGGAGGAACACCGGUGGCGAAGGCGGUUCUCUGGGCAUUACCUGACGCUGAGGAGCGAAAGUGUGGGGAGCGAACAGG